UACGCACGCUGGCGGCGUGCUUAACACAUGCAAGUCGAACGAUGAAGCCUAGCUUGCUAGGUGGAUUAGUGGCGAACGGGUGAGUAAUACGUGAGUGACCUACCUUUGACUCUGGGAUAAGCCUGGGAAACUGGGUCUAAUACCGGAUACGACCAAUCUCCGCAUGGGGUGUUGGUGGAAAGCGUUAUGGAGUGGUUUUAGAUGGGCUCACGGCCUAUCAGCUUGUUGGUGAGGUAAUGGCUUACCAAGGCGACGACGGGUAGCCGGCCUGAGAGGGUGACCGGCCACACUGGGACUGAGACACGGCCCAGACUCCUACGGGAGGCAGCAGUGGGGAAUAUUGCACAAUGGGCGCAAGCCUGAUGCAGCGACGCCGCGUGAGGGAUGACGGCCUUCGGUUUGUAAACCUCUGUUAGCAUCGAAGAAGCGAAAGUGACGGUAGGUGCAGAGAAAGCGCCGGCUAACUACGUG
rnacentral:rRNA from 1 species